UCCAAAGUCCUGAGAGAGACCGAAGCC
rnacentral:piRNA from 1 species